rnacentral:rRNA from 1 species
UACGUAGGGCGCAAGCGUUAUCCGGAAUUAUUGGGCGUAAAGAGCUCGUAGGCGGUUUGUCGCGUCUGCCGUGAAAGUCCGGGGCUCAACUCCGGGUCUGCGGUGGGUACGGGCAGACUAGAGUGAUGUAGGGGAGACUGGAAUUCCUGGUGUAGCGGUGAAAUGCGCAGAUAUCAGGAGGAACACCGAUGGCGAAGGCAGGUCUCUGGGCAUUAACUGACGCUGAGGAGCGAAAGCAUGGGGGGCGAACAGG